rnacentral:rRNA from 1 species
GACGAACGCUGGCGGCGUGCUUAACACAUGCAAGUCGAACGAUGAAGGAGGAGCUUGCUCCUCCGGAUCAGUGGCGAACGGGUGAGUAACACGUGAGCAAGCUGCCCUUGACUCUGGGAUAAGCGCUGGAAACGGCGUCUAAUACCGGAUACGACCCUCGGAGGCAUCUCCUGUGGGUGGAAAGAACUUCGGUCAAGGAUGAGCUCGCGGCCUAUCAGCUUGUUGGUGAGGUAACGGCUCACCAAGGCGACGACGGGUAGCCGGCCUGAGAGGGUGACCGGCCACACUGGGACUGAGACACGGCCCAGACUCCUACGGGAGGCAGCAGUGGGGAAUAUUGCACAAUGGGCGCAAGCCUGAUGCAGCAACGCCGCGUGAGGGACGACGGCCUUCGGGUUGUAAACCUCUUUUAGCAGGGAAGAAGCGAGAGUGACGGUACCUGCAGAAAAAGCACCGGCUAACUACGUGCCAGCCGCCGCGGUAAUAC